AUUGAACGCUGGCGGCAGGCCUAACACAUGCAAGUCGAACGAGUGGCGGACGGGUGAGGAAUGUCUGGGAAACUGCCUGAUGGAGGGGGAUAACUACUGGAAACGGUAGCUAAUACCGCAUACCAUCAGAUGUGCGCAGAUGGGAUUAGCUGUUUGGUGGGGUAACGGCUCACAAAGGCGACGAUCCCUAGCUGGUCUGAGAGGAUGAACAGCCACACUGGAACUGAGCCACGGUCCAGACUCCUCCGGGAGGCAGCAGUGGGGAAUAUUGCACAAUGGGCGCAAGCCUGAUGCAGCGAUGCCGCGUGUAUGAAGAAGGCCUUGGGGUGGUAAAGCACUUUCAGCGGGGAGGCGUUACCCGCAGAAGAAGCACCGGCUAACUCCGUGCCAGCAGCCGCGGUAAUUC
rnacentral:rRNA from 1 species